ACCAGUACGCAUGCGCCUCCACCGUCGCCCCCUCCGACCGGUGCGCACACGCCCCACACCGCUUGAAAAUUUAAAGGGGCAAUACUGUAUACGGAGGAACAGAAAUUGCUCGGAAAAAUCAGCAGAUUUGGCAGCAUCUGUGUGGAGACAAAUAGAGACGCUUUUUUCAGAACGAACAACCCGUCUAUUGUAAUCUUCGCCUUAAAGGGACCCUGGCACUUGCCCAAAUGGAGACAGCAGGAACCAACAGGCAGUUUCCUGCAAGAUGAAAAAUUAUAUACAGAAGAGGACCACUCUCCUGGCUCAGUCAUAAAAUUCAGACAUGGAGUAAAGAGUGCUUCAGUGCAUGGGUGCUCUUUCGGUUUGAGCAGGAUGUUCACCAUCUCAGUGAAAGGCCCUCCAGCACUUCUCAAGAUGAGAAUUCAGAGGUCUCUCAGAUAAGAAGUUUCUUGAUGCUGCCUGAUGUGGAGUAUUUCAAGCAACUUCUGCUUUUAUUCCAGACAUUUAAUGUCUGCAGUGUUUUUUAAAUUUAUGAUUAAACAAUCUAAUGUUUUGGCUUUUGCACGAAACGUCGAUUUUACUGCUCCUCGGAUGCUGCCUGAACUGCUGUGCUUUUCCAGCACCUCUAAU